UACGUAGGGGGCAAGCGUUGUCCGGAAUCAUUGGGCGUAAAGCGCGUGUAGGCGGCCCGGUAAGUCCGCUGUGAAAGUCGGGGGCUCAACCCUCGGAUGCCGGUGGAGUACUGUCGGGCUAGAGUGCGGAAGAGGCGAGUGGAAUUCCUGGGUGUGAGCGGUGAAAUGACGCAGAUAUCAGGAGGAACACCAAUUGCGAAGGCAGCUCGCUGGGACGUGACUGACGCUGAGACGCGAAAGCGUGGGGAGCAAACAGG
rnacentral:rRNA from 1 species